UAGUGUUACAGCUCUUUUAGAAUUUGUCUAAAAGCAAU
ensembl:snRNA U7 U7 small nuclear RNA